rnacentral:rRNA from 1 species
AACGAACGCUGGCGGCGUGCUUAACACAUGCAAGUCGAACGUGAUUGAGAGCUUGCUCCUUAUUUUAGUGGCGCACGGGUGAGUAACGCGUAGAUAAUCUGCCUGAUGAUCUGGAUAACAGUUCGAAAGGACUGCUAAUACCGGAUAAGCCCACGGGUUCUUUGGAAUCUGCGGGAAAAGGGGGGGACCUUCGGGCCUUCUGCCAUCAGAUGAGUCUGCGUACCAUUAGCUAGUUGGUAGGGUAAUGGCCUACCAAGGCUACGAUGGUUAGCUGGUCUGAGAGGAGGAUCAGCCACACUGGAACUGAGACACGGUCCAGACUCCUACGGGAGGCAGCAGUGGGGAAUUUUGCGCAAUGGGCGAAAGCCUGACGCAGCAACGCCGCGUGAGUGAUGAAGGCUUUCGGGUCGUAAAGCUCUGUCAGAGGGAAAGAAGUGUAUUGUGGCUAAUAUCCACGAUACUUGACGGUACCCUCAAAGGAAGCACCGGCUAACUCCGUGCCAGCCGCCGCGGUAAGAC